UACGUAGGGGGCUAGCGUUGUCCGGAAUCAUUGGGCGUAAAGAGCGUGUAGGCGGUCCGGUAAGUCCGCUGUGAAAGUCGGGGGCUCAACCCUCGAAUGCCGGUGGAUACUGUCGGGCUAGAGUGCGGAAGAGGCGAGUGGAAUUCCUGGUGUAGCGGUGAAAUGCGCAGAUAUCAGGAGGAACACCCGUGGCGAAGGCGGCUUUCUAGGAUAUACCUGACACUGAGAAGCGACAGCUAGGGGAGCAAACAGG
rnacentral:rRNA from 1 species